AGGCUUAUAACUCAGAGGUUAGAGUAUACGCAUUAUAUGCGGAAAGACAGUAGUUCGAAUCUACUUGGGCCUU
rnacentral:tRNA from 1 species